AUCGUCCCACCUCCUUUUCUUAGCAACGCCCAUCACCUUUGACGUCUGAAACUAUCCGGGCUUCGAUUGGCUCCUCUGUCCUUCACUCUGGGAGACUUUCAAGACCGCGAGUCUGAAGCUCGUAUUCGAAUUUGUGGCGCUUGGUGUUCGAGAGUUGCCGAAUGCAGCUGAGCGUUUUAAUGGAACCUGGGAUCUCAGGGACUGUCUCCCAGCUUCCUUUUCUCUCUGACGUGCUUAACCUCCCGCGAGUAUAAUUCAGUCCCCACAGAUGGCUUUCGUAAUUGCAUCCUCAUCUCCAUCACUAAAACUAUCAGACACGGUGUGCUUGCAUUUGACAAUGUGGAAAAAUGGCUUUCGCGCAACCUGAGCCUCACUCCGUCACCAGGAGCCAGGUGCAGUGCCGCGACCUCGGCUCACUGCAACCUCCUCCUCCUGGGUUCAAGCAAUUCUUCUGCCUCAGCCUCCCGAGUAGCUGGGACUUCAGGCAUGCGCCACCACGUCCAGACUGUCUCACUCUAUCGCCAGACUUGAGUGCAGUGGCGCAAUCCCGGCUCACUGCACCUUCUGUUUUCUGGUUUCAAGCAAUUCUUCUGCCUCAGCCUCUACCAAGUAGCUGGGACUACAGACACGCACCACCAUGCCCGGCUAAUUUUUUUAUUUUUAGUAGAGACAGGGUUUCACCACGUUGGCCAGGAUGGUCUAUCUCUUGACCUCAUGAUCCACCCACCUCAGCCUCCCAAAGUGCUGGGAUUAUAGGUGUGAGCCACCAUACCCGGCUGGUCUUUUUUUAAUACAUACUUUAAGUUCUGGGGUACAUGUGCAGAAAAUGCAGAUUUGUUACAUAGGUAUACACAUGCGAUGGGGGUUUGCUGUAUCUGUCACCCCGUCAUCUACAUUAGGUAUUUCUCCUAAUGUUAUUCCUCCCCUAUCCCCCCACUCUCUGCUAUCCCUCCCCUAGCUCCCCACCCCCUGACAGGCCACAGUGUAUGAUGUUCCCCUUCCUGUGUCCAUGUGCUCAUUGUUCAACACCCACUUAUGAGUGAGAACAUGCGGUGUUUGGUUUUCUGUUCUUGUGUCAGUUUGCUGAGAAUGAUGGUUUCCAGCUUUACUCAUGUCCCUGCAAAGGACAUGAGCUCAUCCUUUUUAAUGGCUGCAUAGUAUUCCAUGGUGUGUAUGUGCCACAUUUUCUUUAUCCAGUUUAUCAUUGAUGGGCAUUAGGGUUGGUUCCAAGUCUUUGCUAUUGUGAACAGUGUUGCAAUAAACAUAUGUGUGCAUGUGUCUUUAUAAUAGAAUGAUUUAUAAUUUUUUGGGUAUAUAACAAAGGAUUUUGGUAUAUAUUUGCUGGAUGAAAUGGUAUUUAUAUUUCUAGAUCCUUGAGGAAUCACCACACUGUCUUCCAUAAUGGUUGAACUAAUUUACACUCCCACCAACAGUGUAAAAGUGUUCCUAUUUCUCCACAUCUUCUCCAGCAUCUAUUGUCUUCUGAUUUUUUAGUGAUCACCGUUCUAACUGGUGUGAGAUGGUAUUUCAAUGUGGCUUUAUUUGCAUUUCUCUAAUGACCAGUGAUGAUGAGCUUUUCUGCAUAAAUGUUUGUUGGCUGCAUAAAUGUCUUCUUUUGAGAAGUGUCUGUUCAUAUCCUUCACCCACUUUUUGAUGGGGUUGUUUUAUUUCUUGUAAAUCUGUUUUAGUUCUCUGUAGAUUUUGGAUAUUAGCCCUUUGUCAGAUGUGUAGAUUGCAAAAAUUCCCAUUCUGUUGGUUGCCAGUUUGCUCUAAUGAUAGUUUCUUUUCUUAUGCAGAAGCUCUUUAGUUUAGUUAGAUCUCAUUUGUCUAUUUUGACUUUCAUUGCCAUUGCUUUUGGUGUUUUAGUCAUGAGCUGACAUGCCCAUCCCUAUGUCCUGAAUGGUAUUGAUUAGGUUUUUUUCUAGGGUUUCUAUGGUGUUUGGUCUUAUGUUUAAAUAUUUAAUCCUUCUGGAGUUAAUUUUUAUACAAGGUGUAAGGAAGAGAUCCAGUUUCAGCUUUCUGCAUAUGGCUAGCCGGUUUUUCCAACACCAUUUAUUAAAUAGGGAAUCCUUUACCCAUUGCUUGUUUUUGUCAGGUUUGUCAAAGAUCAGAUGACUGUAGUAGAUGUGUGGUUUUAUUUCUGAGAUCUCUGUUCUGUUCUAUUGGUCUAUAUAUUUGUUUUGGUACCAGUGCCAGUACCAUGCUGUUUUGAUUACUGUAGCUUUAUAGUAUAGUUUGAAGUCAGGUAGCAUGAUGCCUCCAGCUUUGUUCUUAACUGCUUAGGAUUGUGUUGACUAUGCAGACUCUUUUUUGGUUUCAUAUGAAGUUUAAGUUGUUUUUUCCCAAUUCCGUGAAGAAAGUCAACAGUAGCUUGAUGGGGAUAGCAUUGAUUCUAUAAAUUACUUUGGGCAGUAUGGCCAUUUUCACGAUACUGAUUCUUCCUAACCAUGAGUAUGGAAUGUUUUUCCAUCUGUUUGUGUCCUCUUUUAUUUCCUUGAGCAGUGGUUUGUAGUUCUCUUUGAAGAGGUCCUUCACAUCCCUUGUUAGUUGUAUUCCUAGAUAUUUUAUUCUCUUUGUAGCAAUUGUGAAUGGGCGUUUACUCAUCAUUUGACUCUCUAUCACUGGUGUAUAGGAAUGCUUGUGAUUUCUGCACAUUGAUUUUGUAUCCUGAGACUUUGCUCAAUUUGUUUAUCAACUUAAGGAGAUUUUGGGCUGAGACAGUAGGGUCUUGUAAAUAUGCAAUCAUGUCGUCUGCAAAUAGAGUCAAUUUGACUUCCUCUUUUUCUAAUUGAAUACCCUCUAUUUCUUCUCCUUGUCUGAUUGCCCUGGCCAGAACUUCUAAUACUAUGUUGAUUAGGGGUGGUGAGAGAGGACAUCCUUGUCUUGUGCUGGUUUUCAAAGGGAAUGCUUGCAGUUUUUACCCAUUCUGUAUGAUAUUGGCUGGGCUUUGUCAUGAAUAUCUCUUAUUAUUUUGAGACAGGUUCCCUUGAUACCUAGUUUAUUGAUUGUUUUUAGCAUAAAGGGCUGUCGAAUUUUGUCAAAGGCCUUGUCUGCAUCAAUUGAGAUGAUCAUGUGGUUUUUGUCUUUGGUCCUGUUUGUAUGAUUGAUUACAUUUGUAGAUUUGUGUAUGUUGAACUAGCCUUGCAUCCCUGGGAUGAAGCUGACUUGAUCGUGAUUCUAGUCUCUGAUAAAACAGAUUUUAAACCAACAAGAUCAAAAGAGACAAAGAAAGGUAUUACAUAAUGGUAAAGGGAUCAAUGCAACAAGAAGAGCUAACUAUCCUAAAUAUAUGUACCCCAAAUACAGGAGCACCCAGUUACAUAAAGCAAGUUCUUAAUGAACUACAAGGAGACUUAGACUCCCACGCAAUAAUAGUGGGAGAAUUUUACACUCCACUGUCAAUAUUAAACACAUAAAUGAGUCAGAAAAUUAACAAAGAUAUUCAGGACUCGAACUCAGAUCUGGACUAAGUGGACAUAAGACAUCUACAGAACUCUCCACUCCAAAUCCAUGGAAUAUACAUUCUUCUCAGCACCACAUUGCACUUACUCUAAAGUUGACCAUGUAAUUGGAAGUAAAGCACUUCUCAGCAAAUGCAAAAGAAUGGAAAUUAUAACAAACAGUUUCUUGGACCACAGUGCUAUCAAAUUAGAACUCAGAAUUAAGACACUCACUCAAAACCGCAAAACUUCAUGGUAACUGAACAACCUGCUCCUGAAUGACUACUGAGUAAAUAAUGAAAUGAAGGCAGAAAUAAAGAUGUUCUUCAAAACCGAUGAGAAUGAAGAUACAAUGUACCAGAAUCUCUAGGACACAUUUAAAGCAGUGUCUAGAAGAAAAUUUAUAGCAGUACAUGCUCACAAGAGAAAUGAGGAAAGAUCUAAAAUCAACACCCUAACAUCAAGAUUAAAAGAAGUAGAGGAGCAAUAUCAAACAAAUUCAAAAGCUAGCAGAAGACGAGAAAUAACUAAGAUCAGAGCAGAACUGAAGGAGAUAGAGACACAACAAAACCCUUCGAAAAAUCAAUAAAUCCAGGAUUGGGUUUUUUGAAAAGAUCGACAAAAUAGAUAGACCACUAGCCAGACUAAUAAAGAAGAAAAGAGAGAAGAAUCAAAUAGAUGGAAUAAAAAAUUAUAAAGGGAAUAUCACUACCAAUCCCACAGAAACAAAUUACCAUCAGAGAAUACUAGAAACACCUCUAUGCAAAUAAACCAGUAAAUCUCUAAGAAAUGGAUAAAUUCCUGGACACUUAUACCCUCCCAACACUAAACCAGGAAGAAGUUGAAUCCCUGAGGAGACCAAUUUCAAGAUCUGAAAUUGAAGCAGUAAUUAAUAGCAUACCAAUCAAAAAAGUCCAGGUCCAGAUGGGCUCACAGCCGAAUUCUACAAAGAGGAGCUGCUACCAUUCCUUCUGAAACUAUUUCAAACAGUCCUCCUGCCUCAGCCUCCCAAAGUGCUAAGAUUACAAGCACAAGCCACCACACUCAGCUUACUUUAUUUUUAAUUUAAAAAAAUGUUUUUAUACAGAUAAGGUCUUUCUGUGUUGCCCAGGCUGGUCUUGAAUGCCUGAGCUCAAGCAAUUUUCCUGCCUCAGCUUCCCAAACUGUUGGGAUUAUAGGCAUGAACCACUACAGCUAACCAGUGUUAUAAAUUUAAAUAUUAGUUUUACUCCAUUAUUUUGUUUUCUUAUUUAGGCUUUACAA